GGCCACUCAGACGGCUCUGAAAGCUACUACAACAAAAUCUGCAAAGGUGCAGGCAAGCCGAACUGUCAAGGAAGUGGCAUGCCAGACUGAUUUGGAAUUGCCGGACGUCCUGUUGAUGGAGGAAAUGCGUCAGCGGUGUUCUACACCUUUAUGUUCAGAGCCAUCCAUGACCUAUGAAGACAACACUCAUGACAAGACAUAUGAGCCUACAUUGAACAGCUCAGUGGCGUGGCCUACCUUUAGCUAUCAUCUCCCAUCCCGUGCAGAACAGGCCUGUUGUAUCACCCAGCUAUGCACUCUGGCAUCCCAGCAGCAUUCAAAGACGAUCUACGACACCUGCCAUCAA
rnacentral:lncRNA from 1 species